CACACCUUCUACAGGCUCCAGCUACAACACUUCAUUGUUCACUAGAGACAGGGGAUGACGACAGCUCCUCUUCCUUGUCAGAUUGUUCCUCUUAACCCAGUGUGUACUGGGAAUCCAUGCAUAGUCCAGACUUGUGUUCCCAAACUAAUAGAAAGCAAGAUGUAGUUCUCCACACACACAACAUUCUAUAGCGUAUACAUACAUACGUUUAUAAACAAUGUGUACAGCUC